CUUUGGGUCACUCUCACCUGAUCAGCAGAGCAUCCCAUACCUGCUUUUCUCACCCAUCACCUCCACUGGCACAGAGGAACUACGAGCUUUCUCUGCCAGAUGAGUUGAAGCACAGAGGGCCCAAAAAAGAGGGAGAGUCACUUUUAUUUGCUAGGAGCAGGAAGGCAGUGAGGCACAGAGGAAUAUUUGUGCCUGACUGCAUUUGGUGUUACACACUGGCCAUGCAGCAGCCCCAACCAUCGCGGCAGAUGUGUGUAUGUGCUUGGCAGUGUCAGCUGGAAAUCCAGGCAAUCACCUAGGCUACAUUAACCCGAUGGUGAUGUACUGGUCCCAGGGAGCCCUGGAGAGAGACCACAGCACUCCGAGGUGUGAACUCCCCCCAUUUAUCUUGUUGGGGUGUGCACAGGCUCGCCAGGGAAGCAGGUCCAAGCACGUUAACCCCUCCACUGCCAGCCUCCUCUGUGGAAAGGGAUGGUUACAAUCAGAAUCUCCCAAGCCGGAUGGGAUGCACAAGGAUCACAGAGUCCAGCUUCCACGUAGGACAACCCCAAGAAUCCCCUGUGCUUGAGAGCGUUGUCCAAAUGCUUCUCUGACUCUGGCAGGCUUGAGGCCACGACCACUUCACAGUGGUGUGUCCUGUACGAGCCUUCCUCUCCUUUGGCAGAGCCUCCCGUGUGCCAAGGGAUGCCAGCGUGGAAGGAGGUGAGGGAGGUUCAGCCUCCUGGACGGUGGUGCUGCUGCUUAUAGGUUUGGAGAUCAGAAGUUUUUUUUAUCACACAGCUCGUUGCAACAGAUGGGGCCACACAGGUAUUCCGGUUUAAUGUGUUUUGAACAAGCUGUAUAUUUCCCUGCUGUUAGAAGCCCUUUGGGUUCUAACAGCAGAGCAGGGGCUCCCUGCAGGAGUCCUGUGGAUAGGGCUCCUAUCAUAGCCCAGGAUAACCCUAUGGAAAACUGGGGACAAAAGGGAUCACACGGCAUGGCUGGGUUUGGGAGGUGCCUUGGAGCACACCCAGUCCAGCCUCGCCUGCAGCAGGUCGCACAGGUUUGUGUCCCGGUGGGUUUCCAGCAGCUCCAGAGGAGGCAGCUCCGUGCGGCAGAUGGGAAGCGAUUCCUGGGAGGCACUCGAGCACGGCUGUCUGAGCUGCAGGUUCCCCGUGGUGUGAGAGGGGUUUGACAUUCGAGCAAGGUUGUGCUCGUCACCAAUGGCUGUGGCACUGCUGCCGCGGGAGUGGUCCUUGUCAGGACCCGAGACAGCAAACUGGGAAGCUCCCUGUUCCUUCCGAGCUCUCCCACCCGGCUGCCAGCAGGCUCCUGCCGGCAGCACAGCGCUAAACCCCUCGUGUGCCGGUUUCGGGGCUCUGCUUUGCAGCCUGUGAAGGUGGCAGCUGCUGGAAGGGGCCGUGCUGCCUUUCCCUGCACAGGGCUGGCUGCGGCUGCAGCGUGCCGGGCAUGGUGGUGGCUCCUUGUCUUGUGAGCAGGGCUUCUUGUGGAGGCAAAGAUGCGAGGUUUAAAGUGAAAUUGCUGCUCCAAAGGAAGAGCUUUCAGGAAUUUCUAAUGUUGGAAGCAGGAGGUGCCAGCCCAGGCUGUCUCAAAAGACAGAGCCCUGCAGCCCUGGAUGGCAGUAAGGAGGGGCUCAAACCCAGGGCAAAGCCUGCUUUCACCUCAUUCUUGUGAGCCAGGGGCACACACCUCUUCCCGGCGUCUGAAACAGCCCUUUCAUUAUGUUUAUAUUUAAAAAUCUAACAGUGACUAAAGCAGUUUGCAUAAUAAACAGCUCCAGAGCCAGAAAUAUUUGCCUGCUCUCGGUAAAAAAAAGGAAGUCCUCAGAUCCUCUUCUGAAGACGGUAAGAAAGUGACAGAGUUUUCCCUUUGCAGGAUAUAAAUAUGCAGUGCAAAUAGGUGGCUGCUGUCACUGCUUACAUUUUGAUGUAUCUCUUCAGAUAGCCUGGCAGCGCCAGGUUAUUUUAGUGUCAAAUCAAAGCUCUGGUUGUGUAAAGAAGCUGAGGAAAGGUACAGUCUGUGUUGCAGCAGAGGAUGGAAGCUCCAAGAAGACUGGAGGCAGUCCUGUGAGACACGUACCAGCCAUGCAUACUAAACCUGCCAUUUAGUACACCGACAAGAACACCGUUUGUAAGAGCUGCUGCGGAACAGAAAUAAAUGUCUUCGGGUUUGGGUUGAGGAAGGAGGAGUGUUUUUCUAGGCAGGCACGUGCUUCAUUACCAGAUUACCUAAAAGAAAAUGCAGCUUUGGCCCCCUUUUACCCUCAAUUUCCUCUCAGGAGAAAGAAAUUUUAAGAGCCUGCUUAUGCCAGAAGAAAAACCUUGCGGGCUGAUCCCUUUUUAAUGCUCUUUUAUGCAAUGCACCAGUGCUGUCCUUGACUCAAACGAGUCAAGUGAGCCCAAAGCUGCCUGAUCUGCAUCCCCCAUCAGCAUCUACCCGUGCUUCCCGCGGCCUCCGCACCCCAGCCCGGUGCGGCGGCGUACAGAGACGGGCAGCGAGGGGUCAGCCACAGAGAUAACGAGGGGGAACGGUGCGCACUCGCCUCCCCUCACUAGGAAAUGCUCUAAUUGCCCACGAGCUGGUGCC